GGAGAGGUGCCAGAGAGGUCGAAUGGGCCUGACUCGAAAUCAGGUGUGCGGCUUGCCGCACCGGGGGUUCGAAUCCCUCCCUCUCCGCCA
rnacentral:tRNA from 1 species